rnacentral:rRNA from 1 species
GACGAACGCUGGCGGCGUGCUUAACACAUGCAAGUCGAGGGCACUAUGGGGGCAACCUCGUGGUGACCGGCGAACGGGUGCGUAACACGUGAGCGACCUUGCCUCGUGGGUGGGGAUAGCCGGCCCAACGGCCGGGUAAUACCGCAUAUGGUGCUUCUCUCGCAUGGGAGAGGUAGCAAAGCCUUGCAGCAAUGCAAUGGCGCCACGAGGGGGCGUC